rnacentral:lncRNA from 1 species
UGCAGAUGUCAUAGCCAUGACUUGAUGGCAGGACUGAAAUCAUCUUAAGUGUGUUUAAAUGGGUGAGAAGAACAUUAAUUGCCCUCGUUCAGGUCACUUUUGGAAGAACCAUCAACAAACAAAUCCGGGACACAGUCAGCUGGAUUUUCAGUGAGCAAAUGUUGGUUUACUACAUCAAUAUUUUCCGGGAUGCUUUUUGGCCAAAUGGGAAGUUGGCACCACCGACCACAAUCAGAAGCAAAGAGCAAAGUCAG